rnacentral:piRNA from 1 species
UCCAAAGCUAUAGGCAAAUUGGAAAGUGCU